rnacentral:tRNA from 1 species
GCCGGCGUAGCUCAGGGGUAGAGCAGCUGAUUCGUAAUCAGCAGGUCAAGGGUUCAAUUCCCUUCGCCGGCU